AUACGGAGGGUGCGAGCGUUGUUCGGAAUUAUUGGGCGUAAAGAGCAUGUAGGCGGUCUGUUAAGUCUGGUGUGAAAGCCCGGGGCUCAACCCCGGAAGUGCAUUGGAUACUGGCAGACUUGAGUAUGGGAGAGGAAAGCGGAAUUCCGAGUGUAGGAGUGAAAUCCGUAGAUAUUCGGAGGAACACCAGUGGCGAAGGCGGCUUUCUGGACCAAUACUGACGCUGAGAUGCGAAAGCGUGGGGAGCGAACAGGAUUAGAUACCCUUGUAGUCC
rnacentral:rRNA from 1 species